GGAAGUAUCUUCUAGAAGAAAUAACAAGUUAUUUAUUUUUUAAAGUAUGUUUGGUUCAACGUAAAAUCGUGAAAAAAUAAUUUUUCGUGAAAAAAAUUUAUUGAUGAAAGAAAAGUUUUACAUUUUGUAGUAUUUGGUUUGUAGGGGAAAAAAAUAUAUAGUUUUUCAUCAUAUUUGUUUCAUUGAAAGAAAAAAAAAAUUCACAUUUAUUUGGUUCGGUGAGAAAAAAUGAAUUAAAAAAAAUUUACGCAGCUUGAGUUUUCGUUUUUCAUUGAAAAAAAAAAAAAAAAAAAAAAAACAUCAUUUUUUUUUUUUCAAAUUCGUAAAAAUACUUUUAUGGAAAAAUAUUCUUGUGUCAAACCAAAAAAGGAAAAGUUCAUUUUUCAUAUUGAAAAUAAUUUUUCGAUUCAUUUUAUGCCGAACCAAACAGCCCGAUAACUUUGAGGCAAAAAAAAGGUGAGUGUAGGAUUUGGGCGAUAGAGAUAUAUAAAUCUUAGGCAAAAACUUAAUGAAAUUGUAAUCAGAUCACCGACUGUCCCGAGCAUAAUUAACUAAUGGCUUGAUCCUCGUCGUACGUAUCAAGAUUCUAAAUUUUAAUUUUAAUUAUUUCAUAUUUUUAAAAACAUAAAAG
rnacentral:lncRNA from 1 species